UCUAGAACUCGAGAUAUGGGCUGAAUACUGAAUAAUGUCUGGGCUGUAGGACAUAUUCCAAUUUAUCUUUUGUUUCUACAAUUUGAACUUGAAAACGACCGUUUUGAAUCUUGGACUCUUCAUGAAAGUUUUAGGCCUAUGUCUUAGCUUUCCAUC
rfam:Populus trichocarpa scaffold_4_contig_513, whole genome shotgun sequence.